rnacentral:rRNA from 1 species
AUACGGAGGGUGCAAGCGUUACUCGGAAUCACUGGGCGUAAAGCGCGCGCAGGCGGCUAUUUAAGUUGGAUGUGAAAGCCUAUGGCUCAACCAUAGAACUGCAUCCAAAACUAUUUAGCUAGAGUGUGGGAGAGGAAGAUGGAAUUAGUUGUGUAGAGGUAAAAUCCGUAGAGAUAACUAGGAAUACCAAAAGCGAAGGCAAUCUUCUGGAACACUACUGACGCUGAGGCGCGAAAGCGUGGGGAGCAAACAGGAUUAGAUACCCUAGUAGUCC